GAACCCCUCUCACGCGUCUUCGAUCUCCUCCAGAACCCCUCUCACACAAACCUCAUCUCACACCCUCUCCGACGAACUCUUCCAUGAACCUCCCCUCCUAACUCCUCUUUGCCAAAUGAAGCCAAGCGACAUUUCCUUUCCGGCAUAUAGGCAAGAGAACGUGUUCCUAGGGGCACUCACCGUGAGGGAAACCAUCACCUACUUGGCCCACCUGCGACUUCCGACUGCAGGAAAGAGGGAGGCAGAGAUGGCAGCAGUGGUGAAGGUGGUGGAGGUGACGAUCCUUGAGAUGGAGCUGCAGGAGUGCGCAGACCGGUUGAUCGGGAACUAGCACAUGAGGGGGAUCAAUGGCGGGGAGAAGAAGAGACUGAGCAUCGCACUGGAGAUCCUGGCGCGGUCGUGACUCCUCUUCCUCGACGAGCCCACCACCGGGCUCGACAACGCAGCCGCCUUCUUCGUGGUGGAGACGCUGAAGCACAUCUUGGUGGACAACAACAAGACCAUUGUCUCCUCCAUCCACCAGCCCAGCAGCGAGGUCUUCAGCCUCUUCGAUGACCUCUGCCUCUGAUUUGGCGGAGAGGUCGUCCUCUUUGGAGAUGCUAAGUUGGCUACCCAGUUUUUCGCAGAUGUUCGAAUUUUUUUGACAUUUUCCCCUCAAUCUCGCUCUUGCUUUCGUUUGGAAGUUGAGCGCUAAAGAUGAUCAGAUCGCCCUGAAUGGCUGUGAUUGUGUAAAUAGAAUUUUUUUUGUAAAUAUUAUAGUUUUUGUAAA